rnacentral:rRNA from 1 species
UGGCGGCGGCUUACCAUGCAAGUCGAGCGGAGAGAGGUAGCUUGCUACUGAUCUUAGCGGCGGACGGGUGAGUAAUGCUUAGGAAUCUGCCUAUUAGUGGGGGACAACAUUUCGAAAGGAAUGCUAAUACCGCAUACGUCCUACGGGAGAAAGCAGGGGAUCUUCGGACCUUGCGCUAAUAGAUGAGCCUAAGUCGGAUUAGCUAGUUGGUGGGGUAAAGGCCUACCAAGGCGACGAUCUGUAGCGGGUCUGAGAGGAUGAUCCGCCACACUGGGACUGAGACACGGCCCAGACUCCUACGGGAGGCAGCAGUGGGGAAUAUUGGACAAUGGGCGCAAGCCUGAUCCAGCCAUGCCGCGUGUGUGAAGAAGGCCUUAUGGUUGUAAAGCACUUUAAGCGAGGAGGAGGCUACUUUAGUUAAUACCUAGAGAUAGUGGACGUUACUCGCAGAAUAAGCACCGGCUAACUCUGUGCCAGCAGCCGCGGUAAUACAGAGGGUGCAAGCGUUAAUCGGAUUUACUGGGCGUAAAGCGCGCGUAGGCGGCUAAUUAAGUCAAAUGUGAAAUCCCCGAGCUUAACUUGGGAAUUGCAUUCGAUACUGGUUAGCUAGAGUGUGGGAGAGGAUGGUAGAAUUCCAGGUGUAGCGGUGAAAUGCGUAGAGAUCUGGAGGAAUACCGAUGGCGAAGGCAGCCAUCUGGCCUAACACUGACGCUGAGGUGCGAAAGCAUGGGGAGCAAACAGGAUUAGAUACCCUGGUAGUCCAUGCCGUAAACGAUGUCUACUAGCCGUUGGGGCCUUUGAGGCUUUAGUGGCGCAGCUAACGCGAUAAGUAGACCGCCUGGGGAGUACGGUCGCAGACUAAACUCAA